rnacentral:tRNA from 1 species
AAAAAGAUAAGCUAAGUAAGCUAAUGGGUUCAUACCUCAUUUAUAAAGGUUACCCCCUUUUCUUUUUA